AUCCAUCUGACGAGUCCGAAAUAGGACGGACCGCUCGUCCUGGAU
rnacentral:hammerhead_ribozyme from 1 species